CGCGGGGGCAACCCUGGCGGCGAGCGGCGAACGGGUGAGUAAUGCAUCGGAACGUGUCCUCUUGUGGGGGAUAACCAGUCGAAAGACUGGCUAAUACCGCAUGAGAUCGAGAGAUGAAAGCAGGGGACCGCAAGGCCUUGCGCGAGAGGAGCGGCCGAUGCCCGAUUAGCUAGUUGGUGGGGUAAAAGCCUACCAAGGCGACGAUCGGUAGCUGGUCUGAGAGGACGACCAGCCACACUGGGACUGAGACACGGCCCAGACUCCUACGGGAGGCAGCAGUGGGGAAUUUUGGACAAUGGGGGCAACCCUGAUCCAGCCAUGCCGCGUGUGUGAAGAAGGCCUUCGGGUUGUAAAGCACUUUCGGACGGAACGAAAUCGCGCGGGUUAAUAACCCGCGUGGAUGACGGUACCGUAAGAAGAAGCACCGGCUAACUACGUGCCAGCAGCCGCGGUAAUACGUAGGGUGCGAGCGUUAAUCGGAAUUACUGGGCGUAAAGUGUGCGCAGGCGGCGUUGCAAGUCGAGUGUGAAAUCCCCGGGCUUAACUUGGGAAUUGCGCUCGAAACUACGAUGCUAGAGUGUGGCAGAGGAAGGUGGAAUUCCACGUGUAGCGGUGAAAUGCGUAGAGAUGUGGAGGAACACCGAUGGCGAAGGCAGCCUUCUGGGCCAACACUGACGCUCAUGCACGAAAGCGUGGGGAGCAAACAGGAUUAGAUACCCUG
rnacentral:rRNA from 1 species